rnacentral:RNase_P_RNA from 2 species
CCAGUUGGCCGGGCAGCCGCGCCUUGCAGGGGCCGAAAGGCCGCAGGGUGAGGAAAGUCCGGGCUCCACGGAAACACGGUGCCGGAUAACGUCCGGCGGGGGCGACCCCAGGGAAAGUGCCACAGAAAGCAAACCGCCUUCCUUGGAAGGUAAGGGUGAAAGGGUGGGGUAAGAGCCCACCGCGUGCAUGGCGACAUGGACGGCACGGUAAACCCCACCGGGAGCAAAACCGAAUAGGGAUGACGCGGAGCGCGCAAGUGCUCCAGCCUGUUUCCGGGCCGGUCAUCCGGGUGGGUUGCAAGAGGCCGGGCGCAAGUCCGGUCCCAGAUGAAUGGCUGCCACGUUCCGGCGAAAUCCGGAGCCUUACAGAACCCGGCUUACAGGCCAACUGGCAAA